rnacentral:snRNA from 1 species
GGAUAUGAGGGUGAUCUGGCUGUGACAUCUAUCACCCCAUUGAUCGCCAGGAUUGAUUCACCUGAUCUGGCUAGCUAGGCAAGUGUCUCCUUCCUUUCUCACAGCUCCAUGUGCAUCCUCUCAAAGAUGUGCGCUCAGUGGAAGAGAACGACCUUUCCCAAUAGAGGAGAGAACCAUUCUUCGGUCAAGGAUAUACGAGUAGCUGAACUCCCCUGCUAGAACCUCCAAACAAGCUCUCAAGAAGAUGAAAAUCAAUACCUGUUAAGAUGACUAUCAUCAAAAAGACAAGAGAUAAUAACUGUUGGACUGGGUGU